CCCUGCAUGGUGUAGUGGUUUGAACGUUGGACUAGAAAUCUAGAGACCACGGUUUGGUUCCCCGUUCGGCCA